rnacentral:lncRNA from 1 species
CCAAUUAACAAUAUACAACUCAUGUACUCGAGUUAUUGGUUGCAAAUGUAAAUACUAUUCUGUGGUACCAAAAGACCCAUACAUUGCACUAUUGAGCAUUCACAUGCAUAAAACAUUCAUAUUUAUGUAUCUCACAAAAAUUCAUAUUCAUCAUUGUUUCAUGAGCGCUCAUGAUUAUACGAUACAUUGUUAACAAGGAAUGUAAAUUUUUCUAGGCCAAUAAAAAGAAAAAAAUUCAAUAGGCUAAUAAGGACAAAAAAGUUCCGUAAUAAUAUUCCUCCAGAGUAAGUAAUUUUUUCCAAUGACAAGGAGGAAAAUAUUUCCAAGGCCAAUAAAAAGUAAAAACCUUUCUAGGCUAAUCCGAAAGAAAAUCUCCCUAAUAGUAUUCUUCUGGGAUAGUUCACUUUUUCCUUGCACUAAUGAAAAGGAAAAGUUUCACAAUGAUAUUCCUUCAUAAAAUAGUUCUCUUCUCCUUAGGCUAACAAAAAGGAAAAUUGACCCCAGACCAAUAAGAAAAAAAACUUCUGUAAUAAUAUUCCUCCAGAAUAGGCCAAUUUUCCCAAUGAGGAGGAAAAUAUUUCAAUGCUAAUAAAGAGUAGGACAAUUAGGAAGAAAAGUUCUCUAAUAGUACUCUUCCAGAAUAGUUCACUUUUUUCUUACACUGAUAAGGAGGAAAAGUUUCACUAACAAUAUUCGUCUGGAAUAACUCACUUUUCCCUAGGCUAACAAAGAGGAAAAAUACUUCCCUUGGCCAAUAAAGAGAUAAAUAAUAUUUCUCUAGAAUAGGUUGCUUUUCCCAAUGUCAAUGAGGAAAAUAUUCCCAAUGUCAAUAAAGAGGAAAAACUUCCUUAAGGUAAUGAGAAGGAACAGUUACAAAACAAUACUCCUUUGGAAAAUAGUUCACUUUUCCUUACGCCAAGAAGGAGGAAAAACUUUCUUAGAUCAACAAUAAAGAACAAUUCAUUUGGAGAAUAAUUUAUUUUUCUUAGGUUAUGAAGGAGGAAAAACUUCCUUAGGCCAAUGAGGAGGAAAAGUUCUAAAACAAUAUUCAUUUGGAAAAUAGUUCACUUUUCCUUAGGACAACAAAAAAGAAAAAUUUCAUAGUAAUAUUCCUCUAGAAUAGUCCAAUUUUCCUAUGCCAAUAAGAACUAAAAGUUCCCUAAUAACAUCCUCGGAAUAGCUCAGUUUUCCUUAUACCAAUAAAAAAAAUUCCCUAAGCUUAUAAAGAGAAAAAAUUUCUCUAGCACAAAAAGGAAGAAAAGUUUCCUAACAAGGAAAAGUUCCCUAACAAUUCCCUUGGAAUUGCUCGUUUUUCACGAGGCUAAGAAAAAGGAAAAAUUUCUUAUAGACCAACAAAGAGAAAAACAUUUCAUAAUACUAUUCUUCAAGAGUAGGCAUUUUUCCUAUGCCAAGAAGAAAACAAUAUUUCCCAAGGCCAACAAAGAGGAAAAAGAAAAACUUUUCUAGGCCAAAAAGGAAAAGUUUCUUACUAAUAUUCUUCCGAAAUAGAUCACUUUUCUUUACACUAAAAAGGAAAGGUUCUCAAACAAUAUUCCUCCAAAAUAGCUCGUUUUUCCUAAGGCCAAUAAAGAGGAAAAACUUCCCUUAAAUCAAGAAGGAAGAAAAGUUCUGUAAUCAUAUUCCUUCAGAAUAGGCACUUUUUCCUAUGCCAAGAAAGAGAAAAAAUUCUCAAGACCAACAAAGAGGAAAAAGAAAAAUUUUCCUAGGCUAAGACGAAAACGUUUCCUACUGAUAUUCUUUUAGAAUAAAUUACUUUUCCUUACCCUAAUAAAAAAAUGCUCCCUAACAAUAUACCCUUGGAAUAGCUUAUGUUUUUCUGAGGCCAAUAAAGAGGAAAAACUUCUUUAGGACAACAAGAAAAGUUUGCUAAUAGUAUUCACUCGGAAUAGCUUACUUUUUCCUAUGCCAACAAAGAGAAAAGACUUCUCUAGGCCAAUGUGGAAAAAACAUUCUAUAAUAGUAUUCCUCAAGAAUAAUUCACUUUUCUCUGCUCCAAGAAGGAGAAAAAGUUCCCUAAUAAUAUUCUUAUGAAAUAACUCAUUUUUCUCUUGCUAGUUAUGUCGAAAAUCUCUCUAACUAAUAAAGAUGAAAAACUUUACUAGGCCAGUAAGGAAAAAAUAUUUCUAAUAAAACUUUCUCAAAAUAAGUCAUUUUUCCUUAUGUCAAGGAGGAAAAAAAUAUUUUCCUAACCAGUAAAAAGGAAAAACUUAGCUAGAUCAGUAAGGAAAAAAAAUUAUGUAAUAAUAUUCCUCCGAAAUCAGUCUUUCCUUAUGUCAAGGAGAAGAAAAAAUUUCCUAAGUCCUUAAAAAAGAAAAACUUCUCUAGGCUAGUAAGGAAAAAAAAAUUUCUGUAAUAAUAUUCGUUCAGAAUAGGUUGCUUUUCUUAUGUCAAAAAGGAGGAAUUUUUUUCUUAAGUCAAUAAAAAGGAAAACUUCCCUAGAUCAGUAAGGAAAAGAAAAAGUUUCAUAAUAUUUUUUCAAAAUAGGUUACUUUUCCUUAUGCGAAUCAGGAGGAAAAACUUCCAUAUACUAGACCAGUAAGGAGAAAAAGUUCUGUAACAAUAUUCCUUCGAAAUAAGUCACUUUUCCCAAUGCAAAGAAGGAAAAUAUUCCCAGGGCCAACAAAGAGAAAAAAUCACUCUUGGCUAAUAAGGAGGAAUAGCUCCCUAGCAAUAUCCUUGUAAAAUAAUUUACUUCUUCCUUACUCCCUAUAACAUAUUCCUCCAAAAACGUUUACUUUAAAAUAUACUAAUAAGGACAAAAAAAUUUUCCUAGGCUAACAAAUAAGAAAAACUUCCUUAAGCCAAUAGAUAGGAAAAUUUUCCUAAUAAUAUUCUUCCACAAUAGUUUAAUUUUCCUACACUAACAAAGAGGAACGGUUCCCGGACAACAUUUCUCCAAACUAAAUCGCUUUUACUUAGGCCAACAAAGAGAAAAAAAAAUUCUUAAGCUGAAAAGAAAGAAAAAUUCUGUAAUAACAAUCCUCCAUAAUAUAACACUUUACCCAAGACAAGAAGAGCAUGCCAAGCCAAGGGAAGAUUAAUGUUCAACAAGGCAAACAAAGGUUAAGGAAAAAUAAAGGAAAGGAAAAACCGAGGCAAACAAAAGUCAAGACCACAAGAGCAAGCAAAGCUAAGAAAAUAUCACUUUUCAAUAAGGCAAACAAAGGCUAAGGAAAAAUAAAGGCUACAAAAAAAUCGAGGCAAACAAAAGUCAAUGCCACAAGAGCAAGUCAAGCCAAGCCAAGAAAAGGCCAAUGCUCAACAAGGCAAAUAAAUGUUAAGGAAAAAAAUGCUAAGGAAAAAUCAAGGCUAAGAGAAAACUUAGGCAAAUAAAAGCCAAGGCUAUAAGAGCAAGCCAAGCCAAGAAAAUAUCACUCUUCCCUGUUUUAAGAAGGCGGAAAAAUUCCCUAAUAAUAUUCUUCUAAAAUCACUCACUUUUCUUAGGCUAAGAAAGAGGAAAAACUUCCCCUAAGCCAACUAGGAGGAAAAAAUCCAUAAUAAUAUUCACUCAGAAUAGCUCACUUCUUCCUAGGCUAAUAAAGA